CUCAAGUUAAAAUUUACUAGGUUAAACUAGAUGAGACCAGAUUAAAAAAACAAAAAAAACUCUACAGAUUUUUUUUACAAUUUCACUUGUUUGCCUAAUUUUUGCAACUUGAUUGUGGACUCAACACAGCACCCUAUUUACUAAACACCCAACAGAAUCAAGUUGAUCCAAUUUUCAGUGGUAUCCGUGCUCACUAGAGCAUAAACUCCACAAAUA